GCAACGAGUGAUGAUAAACAUUUUCAAACGGAAAAUUACGAAAAUAAAAUGAGAAACGAUUGUGUUGUGCACGAAACCCAAAAGAAAUACGUACGAAGUAUCAAAACAAAGUGUUUACAAGUGAUGCGAUAAUAAAGUGUGAACGAAAUACAAAAAAAGAAAUUAAAGCGGCAAAAUGUAACGGGAAAGAAGAACUGUUGAAAAAUUGUUGAGAAAAUUUGUGAAACUAACAUUUAUUCAGAAGGAAGCGAAAUGAAGAUAAUAGAGGGAAAGAAAAAGGCAACACCAACAACAACAACAUGAAACCACUAAAACAAGAUUUAGUCUCCAUUCAGAUGUUCUAUUCAAUUUUUGGUUUUUGGCUUAGUCAGCAAGAAAAGUGACAACACUUGGGAGAUGACUUGGUCGGUUGGUGGGUUGGCUGGCUAGAUGGCUGGAAAGGCCGGUUGACCAGAAAAAAAAAAAACCAACAGAGAGAAACUACUAAAGUGACAUCUAGCAAAACCACUAAAAUGUGGGCAAGGAGAGGCAGAAAAAAGUGACAUGGGAGGAAGAAUCAUCCUUGGUAAUUUGGCUAGAUGUCUAUGUUGCCGUAAAACAAAAUUUCCAAAAACAAAACGGAUAACAGGAGGAAACAACAGCAUUUUGUGGCCACAAAUACAAAUUAUUGAAAAAUAAUAACAUCAAAAGGCAGAAAUGAGAAGAGACAGAUCAGGCUGGAAAUUCCGUAUAAAUUUACUACACAAUAUUAAAGCCAAGAAUAGAAUUUUAUAUCUCCCCCAUCCAUAUCCCAAAAUCUUAAGAUAAUUUUGAGAGACCAGAUGUAAAAAAUGGAAGCUUGGAAUAUCAGAAUACUUACACAUCUAUGUGGACAUCUAUAAAGCUAUGGCUUGGUUAUUGCGUUUUCAAUACGGAGAAG